rnacentral:sRNA from 1 species
GAGUGCGUGAAGGGAGCCAGGCUCCGGCUCGCCUGAUGGAUUGACUUGGAGAUGGAUCGAAUUACACCAUUUGCCGUGCAUCGGUUUGUUUUGCUCCUACUCUGUCCCGCUGCUGCUGCUGCUGCUGCUGCUGCAAGGGGUGGUGGCGAGUUUCAGGAUUCUAUCAAGGAAGCCAAGACCUAAGGAGACAGAGGGAUAUCUAUUUUUACAAUAUUUUUCUUUAUUUUCUUUCUUCCUUGCGCGUGGCAAGCUUUUUUUUUCUUUUUCUUUUUUCUUACCAGCCUCCCCCCAAUGAGGUAGUUCAGUGGCAUUUCUGAGCAGGGGCUACCCUGACUUCACCUUGGCCCACCAUGAGGGUCUUCCUGCUUUGUGCCUACAUACUGCUGCUGAUGAUUUCCCAGUUGAGGGCAGUCAGCUUUCCUGAAGAUGAUGAACCCCUUAAUACUGUCGACUAUCACUGUAAGUCGUCUCAAGAACAGUCUUCUAUUCUGAGAAGGGAAGCUUUUCUGUUUUUCAUUCUCUAAGCAUGUUCAUUU